GUGCAUUGCGCAGCUACACAUGCAGUCGAACGGUAGCACAGAGAGCUUGCUCUCGGGUGACGAGUGGCGGACGGGUGAGUAAUGUCUGGGAAACUGCCUGAUGGAGGGGGAUAACUACUGGAAACGGUAGCUAAUACCGCAUAACGUCGCAAGACCAAAGAGGGGGACCUUCGGGCCUCUUGCCAUCAGAUGUGCCCAGAUGGGAUUAGCUAGUAGGUGGGGUAACGGCUCACCUAGGCGACGAUCCCUAGCUGGUCUGAGAGGAUGACCAGCCACACUGGAACUGAGACACGGUCCAGACUCCUACGGGAGGCAGCAGUGGGGAAUAUUGCACAAUGGGCGCAAGCCUGAUGCAGCCAUGCCGCGUGUAUGAAGAAGGCCUUCGGGUUGUAAAGUACUUUCAGCGGGGAGGAAGGUGUUGUGGUUAAUAACCGCAGCAAUUGACGUUACCCGCAGAAGAAGCACCGGCUAACUCCGUGCCAGCAGCCGCGGUAAUACGGAGGGUGCAAGCGUUAAUCGGAAUUACUGGGCGUAAAGCGCACGCAGGCGGUCUGUCAAGUCGGAUGUGAAAUCCCCGGGCUCAACCUGGGAACUGCAUUCGAAACUGGCAGGCUGGAGUCUUGUAAAGGGGGGUAGAAUUCCCUGUGUGGCGCUGCCAUGCGUACAGAUCUGUAGAAGUACCGGAGGCGCAGGCGGCCCC
rnacentral:rRNA from 1 species